rnacentral:rRNA from 1 species
UACGUAGGGGGCUAGCGUUAUCCGGAUUUACUGGGCGUAAAGGGUGCGUAGGUGGUUUCUUAAGUCAGAGGUGAAAGGCUACGGCUCAACCGUAGUAAGCCUUUGAAACUGGGAAACUUGAGUGCAGGAGAGGAGAAUGGAAUUCCUAGUGUAGCGGUGAAAUGCGUAGAGAUUAGGAAGAAUACCAGUGGCGAAGGCGAUUCUCUGGACUGUAACUGACGCUGAGGCUCGAAAGCGUGGGGAGCAAACAGGAUUAGAUACCCUGGUAGUCCCUGAG